rnacentral:lncRNA from 1 species
UUGUCUGUCAAUCAGCUACUUCUUGAAGGAAAGACUAGAAAUCCUUGUUCUCUCUUUUGUAGGACUGAGGUGGCGUCCACCUCUGCUUCCUCAGGAUUGUCUUUACCAUUCAGAGGAGCCGUGUUGUAGGACCAGAAGGGAUCCUGGCACAGAGGUGACUUUGUUGCUGCCAGUGACUAGCAGCUGCUUUGCUGAUGAGCACCAUGGCCAUCCAUGCCCAGUGCUCUCAAAACAGCUUGAGUAGCCUUUGUCCACUGAGGGUUCUCAAAGACCCAUCGCGUGGCCCACUUCAGACGCCGACAAGAGAACAGACUCUGCCUGCCAUGGCAGUGUGAGCUGACUUAGAUCUGGUGCGUCUGGGCUCCCUGGGUCUCUCUCCACUUUCACUGUCCCUUGCUUACCUUUCCUGAGGUCAGACUGAGAGAGAUUUAAAACCAUAUGAGAACUCUGAAACGUAUACAUCUUUCACCCAGCAAUUUUACUUCCUAGAAUUUAUUGUAAUAAAAUAUUUACAAAUGCAUAGCUAUUCACUGAAUUCUUAUUUAUGAUAAAAAAUUAGAAAUAAUCUAAACAUCCAUCAGCAGGGGAUUGCUCACAUAAACAACGUGAGCAUCUAGGGAACGUCACACGGCAGAUGUGGAGUAUUAGGUGGAUCUGCAGGUCCAUCAGUUGCAUGAACAGUAUCUGAACAACGGCAAAGUCACAGGUCAGCAGGCACAGUUCGAUGCCAUUUCUGUAAGGUAACAACAAAGUGAAACCACGUAUUUUGAUAAGUGUGACCGUAUGAAUAUCCACGCAGAGAAACACGCCUGGAAGGAUUGAAGCCAAACUGGGAAUAGUUCUCUCUGUGGGGGGACGGGGACCGAGGGUUCUGGGAAAGAGUUCACUCUACCUAACAGUGAAUGUUUGCUCUGUGGGAAUGUGUUCGUGCUCACUUGUGUAACUAAAAAUGAAUAACAAUUUUUAAAAGAAAAAUAAAUAAAAUGAAGGAGAUGGAUUAAAAAGAAACCCAACAUAGAGAAAUCGGCAGUUCCGUGGAUCCACUCGGGACUCCACGCGCAGACAGCCCCAUAUAGGCCAGCCCGGCUCCCCAGCACCUCCACGCACAGCAUCCAGGGCUGUUCGGGAGCCACGUGCUGUCCUGGAUGCAGGGCCACUAGUUCUCAGCUGGCAAAUUAAGAGAGACAAUGAUAACGAUCAGCUCUGUUUAGCACGAGGGGCAUGAAGGAUGGAUGGGAGAUGAAGGGAAGGAAAAACACUUCUCCUCUUCCCACCCUAGGUUCAUUGACCAGCGCUCACUUCAGGAUGGGAGACUCGGUAAAGAUUGCUCCUGUUCUGUGUGCAGAUUAGGCUAAAAAGACAGAUUAGCAGGAGAAAAACAGUCGGAAAUUUACUACUGCGUGCACCCGAGCAUGCACACAGAGAACUCGUUGAUGAGUAACUCAGAGGGGUGGUUAGAAAUGGGGCUUCUAUAGCAUCUUAGCAAAGAACAAUAAAUCUGUAGAGAAGUGACAAGAAAAGGAAAGGGACUUUGAGCUUCUGGGAAGCUAAACAGAGGGGAACUAACCGAAGCUGAGGGUUGUGUUAGCGAGGUUUGUCACGUAGAUUCCUCGUGGAUUCCUCGGGGGCAGUCCCGGGGUUGGCCAGAAUCUAGAGUUGUCUUGUGAUUAAGAAUCAUCCUGCCCUUCCUGGUAGUUCCUGUGUCUGCUUCUUCUCUAUUGCCUUCAGCUCAAAAUAUCCUUAUGCCAGAGAGGCAUACUUUGGGGUGGCAUGCUCUAAGGGCAGAGACUAUGGGUAAAAUCUUGAGUGUGCAGAGAGGAAUGAAGGUAUCGUUCUGGAGUGUGAAGAAGGUUGUGCUGCAGCCGGCCGCAGGAGAACCACCUCUCAGAUUCAUCCCCACUCCCCCGAGAGUGAGGACCCCGAGAGCCUUCCUGGGCACAUUCUGGCAUCCAGAGCUGGGCAGGCCUUCAAAAUCUUUAUUUCAUCUGCUCUUGCUCUUACAGGAACAACAGGGAAACAGGCCAGGCUUUGGGGGUCACAGACGUCUUGAACCGCACCCUGAACCUGCUGUGGAAGGCAGUUCUCACGUGGGACCACGGCUGCUUUGGGCAGUCCCUUCUCUUCACAUCCCGUGUCCACACUGGCGAGGCCGGUCCUUCGGCGCCCUCUGCCGUGGGAGGAGGGCACUGCGGGUGGUCUGGGGCCAGCUCUUCAAGAGGCCUCAGCUGUCUUUGAGGAACAGGAUCCACGGAAGCCAAGCGGCUUUGGUGGUUGUUAGCUUUUCACACACGUUUCAGCUGGAGACGUUUGCUCUUAGGCGUCUCCUUGCUUUGUCCAGCGCUAGUCUCCUGAUUUCUUUUGUACGCAAUGCAUGGUUGCCACAAUGGACGGAAUGCGUCCCCUCAAAAUUCGCGUGUUGAAACUCUAAUUCCAGCGUGCUGGUGUCUGGAGGCGGGGCCUUUGGGAGGUGGCGAGGUCUUGUGAAUGGGAUGAGUGUCCUUAUAAACGAGGCCCCAGCGAGCUCUCUGGCCCCUUCUGCCCUGUGAGGACGCAAGGCGAGGUCAGCAGUCUGCCACCUGGAGAAGGGCUGGCUCCGUGAUCUCAGUCUUCCGGCCGCCAGAACUGUGAGAAGUAAGUCUGUGUAGUUUAUAAGCUGCCCAGCCCGUGGGGCUUUGUUGUAGCAGAUCGAACGGAGACGAUCGCUUCACUACAGACGCUUAAGGAAGGAGCAUCGUGCUCGCGACAGCUGGGUCUCUGUUGUUUUCCACCUUCUCCGUCCCUGACUGUGCUCAGGCAGGUGUGUCGGGACCUCCUGAGAGCGUGUGGGUCACAUGACGUGUUUCGGGGACACAUGGUCGUGCUGGCCACCUGGCUUGGCUUAGCGUAGGUACAAGCGCUACCUUCCUGAUAUCUUGAUGGCGCCUACAAUUGAUCGCAGGUGGAAUAGUGUGAACGAAGCAGGGUGGGAGGACCUGGUCCCACCAGUUCCAAAGACAGUUUGUGUGCGGCGUGGGAUGUCCGUUUAUUCCGUGGUCAGUGCCUGACCGUGGGAGCUUCUGUGAGACCGUCGGUCCGCUGACGCCCGGCAUUUAUUCCUCGGUCCGUCCCUACUGAUGACGCAGCUGGACUUGUGUGAAGGUCUCCUCUUAUCAUUAGAGACAGUAUUGUGACCAUAUGGUCCUUUUAUUUCUGCUGGAUAUCUCAUGGGAAACCGGCAGGGCAGGGACUCAAACGCCAAGAAUCUCUUUCUGAAGAAUUAUUUGUACAUAUCUGGACGGUUGGAAGCAGGAGAGAAGAAGAAAUGAAUACCGCCACAGCUUGUGUUUCCGUGGAAUAAUAGUGAUCCACAGAUGGCAUUGGAGAAAGAACCACCAUCGAAUCAGGGCACAUGCUUUUCCAAAUGCUGGGACAGCUUCCUCCCUCAAGUCUCACGGUUACAGAAUGCUUCACUGAAUUUAUUUAACCCGUCCCCCCGCUGACAAGCAUCCAACUCUCUCCAGUCCUUCAACAUUGACUUCAACGCUGCAACAAAUGAACUUGAGUUCUGCUACUUUGUAGAUAUGCAAAUAGAUCUGCAGGGUAAGCUCCCCGGGGUAGAGAUGCUGCUAGAAGAAUCCAUCCACUUGGAAUUUUGAUAGCUCUUACUAUCUCGCCCUCCAUCUGGGUGGCACAAAUUUAUGCUCCCACCAGCAACGGGACGGCAGUGCCUGCUUCCCACAGCCUUGGCAACUCAAUGUGCAAUCAGAGGUUGGAUUUUUGCCCAUUUUAUGGUGAAAAGUGAUAUCUUAGGAAGCUUUAAUUUGCAUGUUUCUUAUGAUGAGGGAAAUCAAGUAUUUAAAAAAUAUACUUAAGAAUAAUUUACAUAGUUUUGAAUUGUCCGCCUAUGAUAUUUGUCCCUUUUUUAGUGGGUUAUUGGCCUUUUUUCUUAUCAAUCUCUAGAUAUUUUUAUACAAUAGAAAGAUUUUUCUAUGUCUAUUGUGAGUUGUAAUUAUGUUUCCCAGUCUGUCAUUUUUUUUUAAUGGUAGAAUUUACUUUCGUUAGGUAGAGAUUUUAAAAGAUUUUUUUUACAUAGUUGAAUUUGUUGAUACUUUUUCAUGGUUUCUGGAUUUUGGGUCACAGUGAAAAAGUCCUCCACACUCUGAGAGUAUGAUUAAUCAUCCCAUCUAUGCAUUUAUUACCUUUAUUGAUUUAUGUUUUAUAUUUAAAGGUUUGAUCCAUUGGAACGUGUCAUGGAACACAGGGUGGUGGAUUUCCCAGCAGCUCCCCAGCUGCCCACCACCACUCUGUAGCUCAGUUUUCUCCACUGAUGUGGCUUUUGUGCUCUUUUUCUGGACUUUCCUUUCUUUUCUAUUGGUUCAUCUAUUCAUGAGCCAAAACUGUGUUGCCUUAAUUACUGAGCUUUGGAGAAUAUUUUUCUAUUUGGGAACUCCCCUUUUUUGAUCUCUUUCUCAGAGCUUCCCUUGCAAAUUGUGUUUGCUUAUUUUCCAAUAUAAGCUUUAAAAUUCCUUUGUCUAACUAAAAAAAACCCUACAGGUUUAUUGAGAUUAUGGUAAAUUUAAAAAUCAAAUUAGGAAGACCAGCCUGCUCUUGACACAAGAAAGGACAGUGACUCAAGUCAUCUGGUGCUAAGCUGUGGUGUGCCUUCCUGGUGGUGUAUGUAUUCUGCUGAUUCCCCCCAGAACG